UCUGACUGGGUUCCACGAAACGU
rnacentral:piRNA from 1 species